rnacentral:rRNA from 1 species
CCUGGCAGUCAGAGGCGAUGAAGGGCGUGCUAAUCUGCGAUAAGCGCCGGUAAGGUGAUAUGAACCGUUAUAACCGGCGAUACCCGAAUGGGGAAACCCAGUGUGAUUCGUCACACUAUCAUUAACUGAAUCCAUAGGUUAAUGAGGCGAACCGGGGGAACUGAAACAUCUAAGUACCCCGAGGAAAAGAAAUCAACCGAGAUUCCCCCAGUAGCGGCGAGCGAACGGGGAGGAGCCCAGAGCCUGAAUCAGCAUGUGUGUUAGUGGAAGCGUCUGGAAAGGCGCGCGAUACAGGGUGACAGCCCCGUACACAAAAGCGCAUGUGCUGUGAGCUCGAUGAGUAGGGCGGGACACGUGGUAUCCUGUCUGAAUAUGGGGGGACCAUCCUCCAAGGCUAAAUACUCCUGACUGACCGAUAGUGAACCAGUACCGUGAGGGAAAGGCGAAAAGAACCCCGGCGAGGGGAGUGAAAAAGAACCUGAAACCGUGUACGUACAAGCAGUGGGAGCACAGGUUUACCUGUGUGACUGCGUACCUUUUGUAUAAUGGGUCAGCGACUUAU